GAGUUUGAUCUUGGCUCAGGAUGAACGCUGGCGGCGUGCUUAACACAUGCAAGUCGAACGGAGAGCUAUUGACGGAGUUUUCGGACAACUGAAAUAGUUUCUUAGUGGCGGACGGGUGAGUAACGCGUGAGGAACCUACCUUUGAGAGGGGAAUAACACAGAGAAAUUUGUGCUAAUACCGCAUAAAGCAGUUGGGUCGCAUGGCUCUGACUGCCAAAGAUUUUACGCUCUUAGAUGGCCUCGCGUCUGAUUAGCUAGUUGGUGAGGUAACCGG
rnacentral:rRNA from 1 species